AACGAACGCUGGCGGCAUGCCUAACACAUGCAAGUCGAACGAGACCUUCGGGUCUAGUGGCGCACGGGUGCGUAACGCGUGGGAACCUGCCUUUAGGUUCGGAAUAACUCAGAGAAAUUUGAGCUAAUACCGGAUGAUGUCUUCGGACCAAAGAUUUAUCGCCUUUAGAUGGGCCCGCGUUGGAUUAGCUAGUUGGUGGGGUAAAGGCCUACCAAGGCGACGAUCCAUAGCUGGUCUGAGAGGAUGAUCAGCCACACUGGGACUGAGACACAGCCCAGACUCCUACGGGAGGCAGCAGUGGGGAAUAUUGGACAAUGGGCGAAAGCCUGAUCCAGCAAUGCCGCGUGAGUGAUGAAGGCCUUAGGGUUGUAAAGCUCUUUUACCCGAGAUGAUAAUGACAGUAUCGGGAGAAUAAGCUCCGGCUAACUCCGUG
rnacentral:rRNA from 1 species